AGAUUUGAAGAUUUUGAUCGAUUGUUGAUAAAGAUUUGAAGAUUUCAAUCUGCUGUUGAUGAAGAUUUCGAUCGAUUCAGAAUUGAGAUUCAUAAUCGCUAUGAGGAUUCAAGAAGACUACGGAUUGCUGUUAUCCAUGGACUGGCACGAAUGGCUGCGAUCAUGGCCUCAACUUACAAGGCAUAUUUGGGUGUCGGCCUUGGCCCAUUAUCGUUUUUGACAAAGUUUAGGAUACCACAUCCAGGAAGAGUUGGAGGGAGCUUUUUUAUCGACCUUGCAAUGCCUUUAAUGUUGAGUUGGGUCCUCGGCGAUA